UCUGUGCUUGCCGGUUUUUCUGUGUUUGUCAUGUCCAAAUAGACGACGUUGUUCUGCAGCUACGGACAUUGACCUGAGCUGGCUGCUGGAAAACUCGUUGGGCCCCACCCGACUGGACUCUUGAUCAGUUUGACUGGAAUUCCUUUGCUCGUUCGUUCCUCUAGGCUGGUUUUGACCUUGUUGGCUUUCUUCUGCCCUUUCAAGAUGUUCCAUUGCAUCAUGCAGAAUUCUUUUGGCAGCUGAUAUUUCAGAUUCUUUACGUGACAUCUUCCAAUAGAUAUGAGAGCUCAAGGUCACUCUUGUCGACUAACUCUAGCAGACUACUGAAGUCCUGGAAGGUUUCUGAUUAUAAAGAGAGAGUUGGCAUCUUUGAAUGCAUCGUUUCUAAUUGGCUAAGGAGGUAUGUAUAACAAGAGCAAUGUGUGUACAGAAUUCGAAUAGUUUCACUCCUGAAGAAUCUACUACAAUGUACUAAGAUGUCAAUUGUCAAGCAACCGUCACGCCCCAUUGGUAUGAAGUGUGAAGACGCUACCGACGUGCGACGAUCGAGAGAACUAGGACGGACACUCGAUCAUGCAUGCACUGCAUGAAAGCUUAAACAUAGCAUGGUCUAAACCUAUUCUAAAUGUGUACUGAAUACCACCUUUAAUCAUAUCUAGACAU